AUACGGAGGAUCCAAGCGUUAUCCGGAUUUAUAGGGUUUAAAGGGUGCGCAGGCGGCCUUAUAAGUCAGUGGUGAAAUCUCCCGGCUCAACCGGGAAACUGCCAUUGAUACUGUAAGGCUAGAAUACAGACGAGGUAGGCGGAAUGUAGCAUGUAGCGGUGAAAUGCUUAGAUAUGCUACAGAACACCGAUCGCGAAGGCAGCUUACCAGACUGUAAUUGACGCUAAGGCACGAAAGCGUGGGGAGCGAACAGGAUUAGAAACCCCAGUAGUCC
rnacentral:rRNA from 1 species